UGCUAAUAAGGUAGAGAGAGGAUUUGAGAGGAUAGACUCCAUGAUUUUUUCCACUGGAGAACAGGUUCUGAGGAUACCACAUAAAGUCAGGAAUCCCUGGAGCCCAACAACAGUGAUUUGUAUGAAUAAGCUGCCACAGCCACCUCACCUUCAGUGACCACCUCCUUGGAUAGUCAGCGGCCAUCAACAUCGAGGCAAGACCUUCCACCAGUGAAAAGACUGACUUGCUGAAAGUUCAAAUGAUGGUUAACAUUUUCUAG